GGGACAUCCCUGCGGGAGGAGUGCUCUACUCAAAGUCUUCUGCUUGGAGAGCCCUGGGGAAGAUUAACCCUUUUGUAAACAGGACCUUCUCCAGGGUCUCUCCCUGGGUCCAUCCAACAAGAUCCAGACUCUCAGAUCCCAGCACCCCAAAAUCAACGAGCUGUGCAAAUAGCACUCCGACAGGCCGACUGGGCAGAGGACCCGACAUUCGCAUUCCACUCCCUCUGCAUCCUCCCCUCCUCCCUGGGCUCCCAGGCGGUGCGGGUUUUCUUGCUGCGCGUUUAGGGCGAGGACGCUCCCGCCCCUUUCUGGGGGACCUGGUUAUCUCCUUCGAUCCCCUGUCAGCCCCUCUCCCGGGGCUUCCCUCGCCUUCGGUGGGCUGGCGCCUCCUCCCGAUGGUUCAGCCCGCCCAGCACCACCACCAGCCCUCCAGACACCCGCAUUCCCGUGCAGUCCGCCCGGCGUCAGCCGUCGGUCGGUCCACUCCUACCCGCAGCCUCAGUCUGCCCGGGUCUCACCUCGACGCCGGCCUCCGGACAGCUCCCGCUGCCGCUGCUGGCUUUUGCAGCAGCCGCAGCCCGGGAGGGAGCAAGUCAGCUAGGGAGGGAGGGAGGCGGCGGGUCUCCCUCUUCUCCUCUCCCGUGUGCUCAUCCCCUCCUCUCCGGUCCCCUCCCCUACGCUCCGCCGCCGUCGCCGCCCCCGCCCCUCGCGAGCCUCCGGCCCCUCCCGCCAGCCCAAGGGAGCCACGCGUUACCCAGGCAACCGGCCCGGGGACCACUCGCGCCCCCUCCCUGCCCCUUCUCACGCGCGCCUCCAGGAGAGACGCCUCCUUCUUAAGUCCCCGGCCCCUCCCGCCAACGGUCACCGGGAUUCCUGGAAGAGACGGGGAUUUGGGGGAAACGGAGAGGGUUCUGCGAGGAGACGGGACCAGUGAGACAGGCAGGACCGGGUGGAGGCGUCUCUACGAGCAGGAGGGGGCUAUUCUGGGCCUGUCCGAGUUGGGAAUUCCCCAGAGACCUGGAACUUGCUCUCCACAGCCACAGCCUUGGCCCCGCCCUGUAUCUGUGCUGCCGCCAGUAAGGCUGCCCCUGGGGAGGGCGGAGCCAGAACCUCACAGCCUCACAGGGCAGAGCAAGGCUGGAUUGACGGACACCAGGCCGAGAAGAAACCCUUGGGGUUGGCGGCAGUUCUUAGUGAGGGCAAUUCAUUCAAUCCAGAGCCAGAAACAGGAUUUUAUUUAAAAUUUAUUGUAAUGGGGUCCGCGCAAAAGGAAGGGGUGGAGGGUGGGGUACAUGCAGGGGACACAGGAACACGAUGACAUGGCCAGGGCCACAACUUCUUCUGUCGUGGGGAAGAGGGAUGAAAAGACAAGACCAGGGCUGGAGCUGGGGUGGAAGAGGGGAGGGGGACACUGGCUGCAUUCCCCCGCCCCCAGGAAGCACCUCUAGGCCCUGGACCCCUCGCUCACCCUGGCCCCUAAGACUCCAUCUCUUCUCUGCCUCUGGCCCUCCUGGCUCUUCCUCCUGCUCCCCUUGACUUUUUCCCCUGACAGAUUCUCAAGUAGGACGAUGUUCAGGGCCUGACCCCAACCCCCCAUACCACCUUAUGAAGGUACAACCUUUGCCGGCCCUGCUUCUGCCCCUCCUCAAACCUCACCGCUUUCCCUCUUUGGGACAGCUCUGAUCCCCCUCCUUCCUCUCCUCCCUCCCCCUGGAAAAAAAAAAAAAAGGAAAAGAAAGCACCAACUCCCCGGGGAGGGGCUGCAGACAGCAGGGGGAGAGGACUGGAAGGAGAGAAGAGGACCGUCGAGGGAAGAGGCUCACAAGUCCCUGGGAAGACAGGGCAUGGGCUUACAGAGAGGAGAGGGGGUACGGGCAGUGGCUGCUCGUGUCCUCUGCCACCCCUGCCCACUGUCCAGGGGACUUCAACACAACCGAGGGGACAGGUUUGUGUGGGGUCAGGUCUGACAGAAGAGGAGCAGGAGAAACAAAUCGUUAAAACCUAGCGAAUUCCCCUAAGAAAACAUUUCUUCCUCCUUUCCUUCUGGAGGCUCCUUGGUUGGUAGGGAAAUAGGAGUUGGUGGGAAAAGAGGGGGGAGAGGAGCUUGUACCAAGGGACUCUACUCCAUUCUCCCCUCUCCCCCGCAACCAACUUGGAGCUCACCAGGGUUGGGAGGGAAGUGGCUGAGAGCUCACAGGCACCCCCUCCGCCCCCGAGAGGGAGCCCACAGCUGUGGGAGGGGCUGCUACUGCUGCCGCUGCUGCCGCUGCCGCCGCUGCCGCUGCCGCCGCCAUUGGACAAACCUCACCAGUACCUGCACAGGAGAAACACCACGGAUCACAGCGCGAUCUGAAUGAGGCCUCAGCCUGCAUCCUCACCCAGACAGAGCAGUUCUCAAGGAUCCUCCCUGUGCCCAGAAGUCUCCCUAGCCUGAGUGGUACAUGGGCAUCCCUCGCCUUCCUGAGAUCCCCUAUUGGGCCCUUUGAGCCCCGUUGUCCCCCACACCCCCCAUCCC
rnacentral:lncRNA from 1 species